GAAGAUCAAUAUGAUUGGUCUAAUCGAGAUCCAGGGUCAUACGCCAGGCGCAUUAGAUGUGCAAUAGUAGAUGUGAUCUACUACCGGGGUCGGGAUUUUGCCGUAUGCGUAUGCUUCGGUAAAUCAACCGUAACUUUUCGGUACGAUCUCGGAUCGAGGCGAUUUUUAUACGAAAAUUGAUCUACAGAAAAAGUUACACAUUUCGGCGAAAUUAGAUUUCCCAAAUUCGGCUUGGAAGAUGGAGUUUCGGGCCUCCGAAGUUUGGAACGUUAGGACGCCUAACUCUCUUUUGCAGGAUGUAUG
rnacentral:lncRNA from 1 species